CCCCCUUCAUCAUCUCCCACAGCACGCCGCCACCCACCACCUCUUCGCGUCCUUCCUCCCACAGCUCGCCGUUGGCCCUCCCUCUCCCUUCCCCUCACCUCGCAGCUCCGGCACCUACCAGAUCCGCCGCAUCCCCCACCCAUCCAUCCCUCUCGUACCACAUUCAUUCCUCUCCGGCGGUCGCCUGAGACCCCUAGCCGUGGCAUCGUGUCCAACACAGCACAUCUCCGGCGGCUCCUCUCUAUCCACACAACGCGUCUCUGGUAGCUCCUCUCUAUCCACACCUCGCCCCCUCGAGCCCACCUUGCCGGCUGCGCGGUGGUGUCAUUGUGCAACGUCUAGCGGCGGGCGACCAACUCCUGGGCCGCCGUCGGUGUCUCGGUGACACCUCUUCUCCACCAAGGAAGUGUUCGAGAGCCCUGCAAUUCAUGAACAGUUUCUGAGUACUUAGCAUUCAAGGAGCAGCUUCUCAAUGAGCAGUCUGUCUCAGGAUGAAAUUUUAGCAUUUGUAGGUAAUUUUCCAUUCUACUUGUAGUAAAUAACCUUAUGAAUUCGUUCUCUCUGUCUUGACAACAGUUCCAGCAGCAAAUUUCUGCUUGAGCUUGCUUCACCCGCUACUCUGUAUACUGGCUGUGGAUUCAGAGUGUGUUGCCUGACUCGUGUGAUUGAUGGCCUUUUUUAAAUCGUUGAUGUAUGAUGUAUCUGAGGGAGGGAGGCAGUGAUUGAUAUACCAAGUUACGAUAUUAUUGAUGAGUUUUUUUUUUCAAUCGCUAUAUAGUAUAGUGUUUAUUUCACUUGCAAUGUUAGCUUCCUUGGUGCCCUUUCUUACUAUAUAGAUGGUACUUAAUGCUGCAUGCGUAUUUGGACAAUCGCUUCACCUCUGUUCCUAUAUAGAUUCAUUACAAAGGUCGAACACUGUCAGUGUCGAUCACCUAGCGUGGCUACUGCUCUCUCUAACUAUAAAGAUGUGUUCUCUGUGCGUGCUGACAAGGUGCCGCAGCUACUAUCGAGGUCUCUGGUGCAGCAGCCGGUGUGUUGUGUGUGCGCGCUUCCUCUCUGAAUGUUUAACACUAAAUUUUCUCUGAAUUUUUUCUGUAUCAUGUACACUGCAGGGUACCAAGUAGAGACAAACAACAAUGUACAAGUAGAGACAACCGCCGCGCUGUGGUAUGUGGCCUUCUAUCAAGUUCUAAUUUAGUUCAGAUUUUUCCCUAGGUCUUGGAGACAUGAUUUUUGUUACUGUAUUAACUUGUUGACAUGUUGUGUUUAGUGUUUUCUCCCCAUGUAUUUCCCAGGUAUUUUUAUUUUUCUGUCCUUAUUGUCUCCUGCAGCCCAGCGAACAUGUAUUCCAGAAAUAAGUUUACUCUGAACCUAAGAAGAAAAUUACAUUGUUACAUUGUGGCAGUCGUACAGUAAGAAUACAGAGGUAUAAACUUGUUAAUUUGUGUACUAAGCACAUAUAUUAGUGAGUCAAUUUAGAGUAGUAGUACUACUAUUAGUUGUGCACCUACUAGUACCAAGGCCACGUGUUCGCUCACUCUCUCUCAACCUGGAGGCACACACUCAGCUAGCACUUGCCAGCACAUUGACACAACGCAUUGUUUGUUGAACUCCUUUGCUUCAUCACUAGGUCGCCCUCCUGAAUAGUGCUCAUGACAAGUGAUCCUAAAUAUUUUUUCUUUAUGUUGUUCCUCUCCUUUUAUUUCGAUCACUUAACACUUUAAUUGUCUUAUUAUGAUCUCUAUUUCUGGGAUGCAGGUCUAAGUAGCUUCAUAACAAUCGUGCCGCUGCAUGGCGCACAAUUGAGCUUGAUAGGGCAACCAUGGCGGCCGUUGGUAGUUGGGAGUUUAACCGCGAUCAACCAAGGGUAUGUUGUUGUCCAUCACAAUCCGCCAUGACAUAUAGUUGCCAUCAGGAGGGUUGACAACAAGAACACGAGUGACAACCUUAGUAGUUUAUAUGUUUUGUUGAUGUAAAUUGGAUUGUACCGGUUCCUAAUCCUUGCUAUGUGAUAUAUUUUGUCAAUAUAUAUUGUAUAUUAUCAUUUCAUGGAGGAUAUUAUAAACUGCUAGGUUGUAGAUAUGUAUGGAUGGUUGCAUAUUGAGUGAUUUUGUCAAUAUAUGUUAUAGAUACCUAUGAAU